rnacentral:rRNA from 1 species
GACGAACGCUGGCGGCGUGCCUAAUACAUGCAAGUCGAACGCAGUGGGGACGGGUGAGUAACACGUGGGUAACCUCCCAUCAGAGGGGAUAACACUUGGAAAUAGGUGCUAAACCGAUACUGAUGGAUGAACCCGCGGUGCAUUAGCUAGUUGGGGAGGUAACGGAUCACCAAGGCCACGAUGCAUAGCCGACCUGUGAGGGUGAUAGGGCACAUGGGGAAUGAGACAAGGCCCAGACUCCAACGUGAGGCAGCAGUAGAGAACAUUAGGCAAUGGACGAAAGUCUGACCGAGCAACGCCGCGUGAGUUAAGAAGGUUUCCAGAUCGAAAAACUCUGUUGUUAGAGAAGCGGUAUCUAACCAGAAAGCCACGGAUGACUACGUGCAAGCAGCAGCGGUAAUAC